rnacentral:rRNA from 14 species
CGGGAGGCAGCAGUCGGGAAUAUUGGACAAUGGGCGCAAGCCUGAUCCAGCCAUGCCGCGUGUGUGAAGAAGGCCUUAGGGUUGUAAAGCACUUUAAGUAGUGAAGAAGGCUGUACGGCUAAUACCCGUGCGGAUUGACAUUAGCUACAGAAUAAGCACCGGCUAACUCCGUGCCAGCAGCCGCGGUAAUACGGGAGGGGCAAGCGUUAUUCGAAAUGAUUGGGCGUAAAGAGUCCGUAGAUUGUAAAAUAAGUUAUUUGUUAAAUCAUAAGGAUUAACCUUGUAAAAACAUUUAAAACUGUUUUACUAGAGUUUUUUUCAGAAAAGUAGAAUUUCAUAUGAAAGGAUAAACCCUGUAGAUAUAUGAAGGAAUAUCAAAAGCGAAAGCAACUUUUUGGUAAAAACUGACGUUGAGGGACGAAAGUAUAGGUAGCAAACAGGAUUAGAUACCCUGGUAGUCCACGCCGUAAACGAUGUCAACUAGCCGUUGGGAACCUUAGUGUUCUUAGUGGCGUAGCUAACGCGCUAAGUUGACCGCCUGGGGAGUACGGUCGCAAGAUUAAAACUCAAAUGAAUUGACGGGGGCCCGCACAAGCGGUGGAGCAUGUGGUUUAAUUCGACGCAACGCGAAGAACCUUACCUGGUCUUGACAUCCUACGAACUUUCCAGAGAUGGAUUGGUGCCUUCGGGAACGUAGUGACAGGUGCUGCAUGGCUGUCGUCAGCUCGUGUCGUGAGAUGUUGGGUUAAGUCCCGUAACGAGCGCAACCCUUGUCCUUAGUUACCAGCACGUAAUGGUGGGCACUCUAAGGAGACUGCCGGUGACAAACCGGAGGAAGGUGGGGAUGACGUCAAGUCAUCAUGGCCCUUAUGACCAGGGCUACACACGUACUACAAUGGUCGGUACAGAGGGUUGC